GGGUUCUUAGCUCAGUUGGUUAGAGNNAGGUCACUGGUUCGAAUCCAGUAGGACCCACCC
rnacentral:tRNA from 1 species